rnacentral:rRNA from 1 species
GUCUAUGGCCAUGCCACCCGGAACAAGAACGAUGUCUGAUCUUGGAACCUAAGCAGGAUCGGGCCUCGUUAGUACUUGGAUGGGCGACCACCUAGGAAGACCAGGUACCAUAGGUA